AGACCGACAUGGUUAUUAUCUCUUUUAUCACGCUCCAGAAGGCAGACCAUAGCUUUUAUUUUGUCAUAAUUUUAGGUCUCCUCUAUAAAAGCACCCUUUGCAUCUGCUCUUCACUCUGUGAUUAAAGAAACUUUCUGUUCAGAUCUGAAACAGUUUUAUUUAACAUAUCAUUGAAAUAUUAUUAGUUUUAAUUAACACUUUGAAUUAGUUUUGUGUAUUUGUUUCCUUUUUUUAAAGUUUUAGUAAUUUACAUGUUUUCUAUUAUUGUUAAUAUUUCUUAAAUAUAUUUAAUAUCCAUGUAGUUUUCAUUCGUUUUUAUUUUUUAUA